GAGGGAGCGGGCAGGUUGGUAGGGAGUCAGCAGGUCUACAAUCAACAGGCUACAAUAAUGAAGGUUUUAUGGAGAAUUGAAGAUACGAAUGAUCACAAGCAGAAGUCAUCUCUCAUGGAGCUGAUCCGCCAGGGUGAGGAUGAGGUACCAGUCGAUCAUGCACUAAGAACAUACAUUUUGUCUGAUUAUGAUGAAGAAACCACUUAGCUCAAGUAUAAAAGAUUUUUUUUCGAAUGUUGUUCUGUAGUUUGCCAAGCAGAGCUACAGUGUUAAUAUUCAGUAUUAUACUCAUUGCUCAGUGUUAUACUCAUGGCUCAAAAGAUUAUUGUGAAAAAAUAAAGCAUCAGUUUACGCUG